AGGGUUGUGGCUCAGUGGUAGAGCGCUCACCUCGCACGUGAGAGACCCUGGCUUCGAUCCUCAGCACCACAU
rnacentral:tRNA from 1 species